rnacentral:rRNA from 1 species
CCUACGGGGGGCAGCAGUGGGGAAUAUUGGACAAUGGGGGGAACCCUGAUCCAGCCAUGCCGCGUGUGUGAAGAAGGCCCUCGGGUUGUAAAGCACUUUCAGUGAGGAAGAACGCCUGGUGGUUAAUACCCAUCAGGAAAGACAUCACUCACAGAAGAAGCACCGGCUAACUCCGUGCCAGCAGCCGCGGUAAUACGGAGGGUGCGAGCGUUAAUCGGAAUUACUGGGCGUAAAGCGCGCGUAGGUGGCUUGAUAAGCCGGUUGUGAAAGCCCCGGGCUCAACCUGGGAACGGCAUCCGGAACUGUCAAGCUAGAGUGCAGGAGAGGAAGGUAGAAUUCCCGGUGUAGCGGUGAAAUGCGUAGAGAUCGGGAGGAAUACCAGUGGCGAAGGCGGCCUUCUGGACUGACACUGACGCUGAGGUGCGAAAGCGUGGGGAGCAAACAGGAUUAGAUACCCCGGUAGUC